AUGGAUGUGCCGAAUUUCCACUGCCUUUUUUCAUUUUUUGAAGAGGACUCGUUUGCUGUAGGGGACCUCAAGUGGGUAAACCUGAGUGGUUGCGGAGUGUCUAGGGACAAAUUGAACCCACAACAUUGGAAAAAAGAUACCGCGAUAACGGUGAGAUGGCCUGACAAAAAGGGCCAGUAUCAGCUCUACCCUGCGAAAAUUCUUAAAAUGUCAGCUGAUAAGCACAGUCUGAUCAAAUUAAGAGAUCACCUUAUAAAAGCCUAUGAAAGCGAAGAGGACUGUGGUCGUGGAAAAAGGAAGAGAAAAGAUCUUUGUAUCUCUUCUGAUGAUGAAGAGCCUGUGGAGAAGGACAUAAUUAAGAAAAAGCCUGAAAAGAGGCCUAGUCUCUUAUCAAAACUGCUGGAAAAGCGCAAGGAGCAGUUAAUUGACAGUACAGCUGUACAGGAAUGCACAAAUUGCUGUGCCUUGAAAGAAAAAUAA
rnacentral:lncRNA from 12 species